rnacentral:lncRNA from 1 species
UCACACAAUGCAUCACUAUUAUUAUUAUCAAUAGGUUGAGACGUCUCACUAACCUUUAAGGGAAACACAUGUUCAAAAAACUCAGCAUCUUUCGUCUCCAUUAUAGAAUUACUCUCAAAUAUAUCACUUUUAAGAACCAAAAACCUAUAAUAGCACUAUAUUCAACAUAGCCUAAGAACAUGCAAUCAGAGGUUUUAGAGCCUAUUUUCCUUUUCUUAGGAUCAAGUAACAUUAUCUUAGCUAGACACUCCACACUCU